UGCAAGUCGAACGGUAACAUUUCUAGCUUGCUAGAAGAUGACGAGUGGCGGACGGGUGAGUAAUGCUUGGGAACUUGCCUUUGCGAGGGGGAUAACAGUUGGAAACGACUGCUAAUACCGCAUAAUGUCUUCGGACCAAACGGGGCUUCGGCUCCGGCGCAAAGAGAGGCCCAAGUGAGAUUAGCUAGUUGGUAAGGUAACGGCUUACCAAGGCGACGAUCUCUAGCUGUUCUGAGAGGAAGAUCAGCCACACUGGGACUGAGACACGGCCCAGACUCCUACGGGAGGCAGCAGUGGGGAAUAUUGCACAAUGGGGGAAACCCUGAUGCAGCCAUGCCGCGUGUGUGAAGAAGGCCUUCGGGUUGUAAAGCACUUUCAGUUGUGAGGAAAAGUUAGUAGUUAAUACCUGCUAGCCGUGACGUUAACAACAGAAGAAGCACCGGCUAACUCCGUGCCAGCAGCCGCGGUAAUACGGAGGGUGCGAGCGUUAAUCGGAAUUACUGGGCGUAAAGCGCACGCAGGCGGUUUGUUAAGCUAGAUGUGAAAGCCCCGGGCUCAACCUGGGAUGGUCAUUUAGAACUGGCAGACUAGAGUCUUGGAGAGGGGAGUGGAAUUCCAGGUGUAGCGGUGAAAUGCGUAGAUAUCUGGAGGAACAUCAGUGGCGAAGGCGACUCCCUGGCCAAAGACUGA
rnacentral:rRNA from 1 species